UUAAAUUGAAGAGUUUGAUCAUGGCUCAGAUUGAACGCUGGCGGCAGGCCUAACACAUGCAAGUCGAACGGUAACAGGAAGCAGCUUGCUGCUUUGCUGACGAGUGGCGGACGGGUGAGUAAUGUCUGGGAAACUGCCUGAUGGAGGGGGAUAACUACU
rnacentral:rRNA from 5 species